rnacentral:rRNA from 1 species
UAACCUUCGGGAGGGCGUUUACCACGGUGUGGUUCAUGACUGGGGUGAAGUCGUAACAAGGUAGCCCUAGGGGAACCUGGGGCUGGAUCACCUCCUUACUGA